CUGAAGAAGGAAUCAGACAACACUGGAGUAGCUCGGCAGGUCAUGCAGCAUCUAUGAAAAUGAACCUCUCCUUUAGUCGACCUCUCCGGCCGGGACCCUUAAUCAGGACUGGAAAGGAAGCGCGAAGAAGCCAGAAUAAAAAGGACCCAGUGGAAGGUGAUAUGUUGCUCCAUUUAGUCUAAAUACCUACAAUGGAUGCUGCACAGACAAAAAAAAACUAUCUCAAAAGUCAGAGGUAUUGCAUUGUACUGCUGCUGCUAAGUUAACAAAUUUCACGACCCUUGCCGGUGACAAUAAACCCAAUUCUGAUUCUGAUUUGCAAAAAGCGGAACUACAACCUUAUUUAUCAAAGAGAGCAUCACUGUAGUAAUGGAAGCUGUACAAGCCCUAAUAUUCCUGAAGGUGGCAGCACAGGUAAAUAGAGAGGUGGAGAUGACAUAUCAGAUGUUUGCCUUCUUUGGCCAGGGCAUGGAGUACAUGAACAGGCAGAUCUUGAUCCAAACUCUUUAGACCAUAGCUAUAAGACUGUGUGCAGUUCUAGUUGCCACAGAAUAAGAAUUGCUCUGGAAAGGGUCACAGAUCAACCAUUCUAGUUAGAACUCCCCGCUUCCAUCUUCCUCUAUUAGCCUGUUACUGCACUGCACUGUAAACUCAUUAAACCAUUUUUCAUAAUGCUGAUUGCAUUGCUAAUACAUGCUGAUAUUUAUGUAUUUAUGCACA